AUAUCAAUAAGCGGAGGAAAAGAAACCAACAGGGAUUGCCCCAGUAGCGGCGAGUGAAGCGGCAAGAGCUCAGAUUUGAAAUCGUGUUUCGGCACGAGUUGUAGAGUGUAGGCGGGAGUCUCUGUGGAGCGCGGUGUCCAAGUCCCUUGGAACAGGGUGCCUGAGAGGGUGAGAGCCCCGUAGGGUGCUGCGCGAAGCUUUUGAGGCCCUGCUGACGAGUCGAGUUGUUUGGGAAUGCAGCUCCAAGCGGGUGGUAAAUUCCAUCUAAGGCUAAAUAUUGGCGAGAGACCGAUAGCGAACAAGUACUGUGAAGGAAAGAUGAAAAGCACUUUGAAAAGAGAGUGAAACAGCACGUGAAAUUGUUGAAAGGGAAGGGUAUUGGGCUCGACAUGGGGGGUGCGCACCGCUGUCUCUUGUAGGCGGCGCUCUGGGCGCCCUCUGGGCCAGCAUCGGUUCCUGCUGCGGGAGAAGGGGCUCCGGAAAGUGGCUCUUCGGAGUGUUAUAGCCGGGGCCAGAUGCCGCGUGUGGGGACCGAGGACUGCGGCUUCUGUCUCGGAUGCUGGCAUAACGGCGCAAUACCGCCCGUCUU
rnacentral:rRNA from 1 species